GUUCAUUGUCAUCUUUGAAGAAUCAAAACCAGAAUCAGGUCAUGGAAGGAAAUGGACGGUUGAUGUUCCAGUUCAAGACCCAUUCCAGAUGAAGGGUCUCAAUAGCUGAAGUGCACACUUUGCAAUGAGAUUCUGCAUGUCCUACUGAGUUCCUACGGC